rnacentral:rRNA from 1 species
GGAUCAAGGAAUCGGUCAUGCCUUGGUAUGUACUGGUUUUAUUGGUUCUCACCUUCUAAAGAACCAUAAUGUCAUUUAUUUGAUGUUAUGGGGAAAUAGGACUGUUACCUUGAAAAAUUAGAGUGUUUAAAGCAAGCUUACGCUUGAAUACAUUAGCAUGGAAUAAUGAAAUAGGACAUCAGAUUCUAUUUUGUUGGUUUCUAGGAUCGAUGUAAUGAUUAAUAGGGAUAGUUGGGC